rnacentral:tRNA from 1 species
GGGAUUGUAGUUCAAUCGGUCAGAGCACCGCCCUGUCAAGGCGGAAGCACCGGG